rnacentral:rRNA from 1 species
GUGAGGAAUAUUGGACAAUGGGCGCAAGCCUGAUCCAGCCAUGCCGCGUGCAGGAAGACGCAUCUAUGGUGUGUAAACUGCUUUUGUACGGGAAGAAACACUCCCUCGUGAGGGAGCUUGACGGUACCGUAAGAAUAAGGAUCGGCUAACUCCGUGCCAGCAGCCGCGGUAAUACGGAGGAUCCAAGCGUUAUCCGGAAUCAUUGGGUUUAAGGGGUCCGUAGGCGGUUUAAUAAGUCAGUGGUGAAAGCCCAUCGCUCAACGAUGGAACGGCCAUUGAUACUGUUAGACUUGAAUUACAAGGAAGUAACUAGAAUAUGUAGUGUAGCGGUGAAAUGCUUAGAUAUUACAUGGAAUACCAAUUGCGAAGGCAGGUUACUACUUGUGGAUUGACGCUGAUGGACGAAAGCGUGGGGAGCGAACAGGAUUAGAAACCCUGGUAGUCC